AGUGAACGCUGGCGGUAGGCCUAACACAUGCAAGUCGAACGGCAGCACAGUAAGAGCUUGCUCUUACGGGUGGCGAGUGGCGGACGGGUGAGGAAUACAUCGGAAUCUACUUUUUCGUGGGGGAUAACGUAGGGAAACUUACGCUAAUACCGCAUACGACCUACGGGUGAAAGCAGGGGAUCUUCGGACCUUGCGCGAUUGAAUGAGCCGAUGUCGGAUUAGCUAGUUGGCGGGGUAAAGGCCCACCAAGGCGACGAUCCGUAGCUGGUCUGAGAGGAUGAGCAGCCAAGCGGGAACGGAGAACGGGCCCAGGCCCCAGGGGGGGGCCGGAGGGGGAAAUUUGGGAAAAGGGGGGAAACCGUAACCAAGCCUUCCCGCGGGGGGGAAGGAGGCCUUGGGGUGGAAAACCCCUUUUGGGGGGAAAAAAACGCACCAGGUUAAAACCCCGCUUUUUGGCCGGUACCAAAAAAAAAAGCCCCGGCAAAUUUGGG
rnacentral:rRNA from 1 species